GGGCAGCCAAGUCGUGAGGCGGAGCUAAUCCCUUAAAGCCAUUCUCAGUUCGGAUUGUAGGCUGAAACUCGCCUACAUGAAGCUGGAGUUACUAGUAAUCGCAGAUCAGAAUGCUGCGGUGAAUGCGUUCCCGGGUCUUGUACACACCGCCCGUCACACCACGGAAGUUGGGGGCGCCCGAAGCCACUUAGCUUAACCCUUUUGGGAAGCGAGUGUCGAAGGUGAAAUCAAUAACUGGGGUGAAGUCGUAACAAGGUAGC
rnacentral:rRNA from 1 species